CUGGUAGAGCCUGUCCAGCAGGCAUAUCUUCAGGUCCACACUCUGUCUCUCCACCCACACUGGCACAUCAAUGGCUGAACCCAGCGCUCGAAUGGAGAUCUAAAACAAGACACAUUGGAUCAGUGAACCUGACAAGAAACUCAACGUCAGCCUUCCCGGGCACAGAGGGAUUCCAAAUGAUCUCGAGCUUUGUUGAGGAGAAUGGGGGGAUUUCUCCCGUGGAUAUUGGACCCACUUUCAUCCCGUCCAGGGUGCCAUAGUCGUCAUACUCACUCACUUGAAUGUCUGGAGACAGCCCGCCCUCAAUACCAUCUGUAGAGAAAACAAAAGCCCUUAUGCUGGCCAAUACACAGGAAGCACCAGGGCUUGUAUUCACAAUCCCAUUUUGCUAACUUGGAAUACAGAAUAGACGUACUAAGAAUUCUACUCAAGAUAACUCUAGUGUUCAGCCCAGACUCACCUGUGACCUUGAAGAACUCAAAAGUGAUGCCAAGAGCUCACAGACUCACCUGUGAUCUUGAAGAACUCAAAGGUGGUGCCCAGAGCUCCCAGACUCACCUGUGACCUUAAAGAAUUCAAAGGUGGUGCCCAGAGCUCCAAGACUUACCUGUGACCUCAAAGAACUCAAAGGUGAUGCCAAGAGCUCCAAGACUUACCUGUGACCUUAAAGAACUCAAAAGUGGUGCCCAGAGCUCCAAGACUUACCUGUGACCUUUAAGAACUCAAAAGUGGUGCCCAGAGCUCCCAGACUCACCUGUGACCUUAAAGAACUCAAAAGUGGUGCCCAGAGCUCCCAGACUCAUCUGUGACCUUGAAGAACUCAAAGGUGGUGCCCAGAGCUCCCAGAAUCACCUGUGACGUUAAAGAACUCAAAAGUGGUGCCCAGAGCUCCCAGACUCACCUGUGACCUUGAAGAACUCAAAGGUGGUGCCCAGAGCUCCCAGACUCACCUGUGACCUUG